rnacentral:sRNA from 1 species
CAAAUUCGAAAAGCCUGCUCAACGAGCAGGCUUUUUUGCAUUUGUAGCUCAUGAGGAUGAGAACCUCCGGGGGCGGGGAGGUUCGACUCGAGCGAAGCGAGAGAACGUUGCGCCAGCAACGGCCCGCAGGGCGAGCCACGAAGUGGCGAGUAAUCCUCUAUCACCGACCA